GAUCCACCUAUGUCUGCCUCCUGAAUGCUGAGAUUGAAGAGUUCUGCCUAAGGUAGAGACUAUCAUCACUCCAAUUCAUAGAUGGGGAACUGAAGCUCAGAGGUCCUGAGGUCAUCACCUGGUAAAAGUAAGAGCUGAGAUUCAAACACAUGCAUGUAGCCACAGGAACCUGAACACUCCAACAAAGAAGAGCAGAA